GCUUAACACAUGCAAGUCGAGGGGCAGCAUGAACUUAGCUUGCUAAGUUUGAUGGCGACCGGCGCACGGGUGAGUAACACGUAUCCAACCUGCCGAUGACUCGGGGAUAGCCUUUCGAAAGAAAGAUUAAUACCCGAUGGCAUAGUUCUUCCGCAUGGUAGAACUAUUAAAGAAUUUCGGUCAUCGAUGGGGAUGCGUUCCAUUAGGUUGUUGGCGGGGUAACGGCCCACCAAGCCUUCGAUGGAUAGGGGUUCUGAGAGGAAGGUCCCCCACAUUGGAACUGAGACACGGUCCAAACUCCUACGGGAGGCAGCAGUGAGGAAUAUUGGUCAAUGGACGAGAGUCUGAACCAGCCAAGUAGCGUGAAGGAUGACUGCCCUAUGGGUUGUAAACUUCUUUUAUACGGGAAUAAAGUGAGGCACGUGUGCCUUUUUGUAUGUACCGUAUGAAUAAGGAUCGGCUAACUCCGUGCCAGCAGCCGCGGUAAUACGGAGGAUCCGAGCGUUAUCCGGAUUUAUUGGGUUUAAAGGGAGCGUAGGCGGACGCUUAAGUCAGUUGUGAAAGUUUGCGGCUCAACCGUAAAAUUGCAGUUGAUACUGGGUGUCUUGAGUACAGUAGAGGCAGGCGGAAUUCGUGGUGUAGCGGUGAAAUGCUUAGAUAUCACGAAGAACUCCGAUUGCGAAGGCAGCCUGCUGGACUGUAACUGACGCUGAUGCUCGAAAGUGUGGGUAUCAAACAGGAUUAGAUACCCUGGUAGUCCACACAGUAAACGAUGAAUACUCGCUGUUUGCGAUAUACAGUAAGCGGCCAAGCGAAAGCGUUAAGUAUUCCACCUGGGGAGUACGCCGGCAACGGUGAACUCAAAGGAAAUUGACGGGGGCCCGCACAAGCGGAGGAAC
rnacentral:rRNA from 1 species